GUCGCUAAGCCCCGCCCCCUCCGCUGCUACUAACGUCAAACCGUCAGAAACCGUCAGAUUAAUGUUGGAAACAGCGAUUUCAGAGAGAAGCAGACAGAAAGGUUUACAAUAUGUGUUUAAAGAAUGUAUCCAGGAUGUCAAAGUGACAAACUCAGCAGUGAAAACAGGUUAAAAAGAUAAAAAAUGAAAGCUAAAGCCUGUCAAUCAGAGUGUUAACCACCAUCAUCACCUGGAGAGACAACAGUCAAGUGAAGGAGCAACACUGAACCUGUUAAACCAGCUGUCUGAAUAUUUCAUCAAUGAUCUGGAGUGAGGUGAGACGAGGGAACGUUAAGCCAACCUGCUGAGGAUUCUGGGGUUGCUAGUCGUCUCCAGUGAGUUUCCUGCUUUACCAACCGGAAAAAAGCUGCAGCCGUAGUUCACACGGAAAACACUACAAAGUGGCUGCUUGGUCCAAGCUUUUAAGGCCUGCUCAUUUGCUGGUGGCCUUGAACUCUGAGCGUGAUGCUGACCUGAGCCCAGCGGCGGUUCCUGCUGAUCAUGUGUGUGUUGGCCAUGGCGGUGAAGAGGUUGUGUGCCUGUAGGUCCUCCGGCAGGCGGGUGAGGAACUGAGCAAUGUGGAUG